GGGCCGUUAGCUCAGCUGGUAGAGCAGGAGACUCUUAAUCUCAAGGUCACAGGUUCGAUCCCUGUACGGCCCA
rnacentral:tRNA from 1 species